CAGUCGCCGCGGGAAUACGAAGGGGGCUAGCGUUGUUCGGAAUUACUGGGCGUAAAGGGCGCGUAGGCGGCCAUUCAAGUUAGAUGUGAAAGCCCUGGGCUCAACCUAGGAAUUGCAUUUGAUACUGUUUGGCUUGAGUUCGGGAGAGGUGAGUGGAAUUCCCAGUGUAGAGGUGAAAUUCGUAGAUAUUGGGAAGAACACCAGUGGCGAAGGCGGCUCACUGGACCGACACUGACGCUGAGGCGCGAAAGCGUGGGGAGCAAACAGGAUUAGAGACCCCCGUAGUCCCUGUCUCUUAUAC
rnacentral:rRNA from 1 species